AAAAAAAAAAAAAAAAAAAGCUGUCUCACUCAAACUGGCCUUUCUCGGAAAAGGAUCCUUCCCCGAUGAUUGUCCGGAUAAGCAGAGCUAAAUCCAGCAGCCACUCCACAACAAAACCACUCUCUUCCACGGGUUCCUGUUUGUGGGAGAAGGAUUGAGUUGAGGCCCUGAGACCUGACUGACCCACAGGGAGGACACCUGAGACCAUCCCUGCAGCCGUGCUGCCUUGGGAGCAUGCCAGUGUGGUUGAAGAGAGCUGGGAUGGAUGCAGAGGGACAAAGAUAAAGGGGUCAAGGAGGUUUUUACUCCUUUCUUCAAGGUGGUGCUGCUAAGCUAAGCAGGCUAUGAAACCUGACCACUCAAGAUGCUUCAAUCCCACAGAAAUAAGAUUGCAGUUAAAUUCUCCAACAUCAUCACCCAGUUCAGUCUGACAAGUCAUCAGACAGCCUGCUAGGGGAUUACUUCUGAUGUUUUAAGUCUACUAAAACACCUUUAUUCCCUGGCUUCACUGGAUAUGUGCCAUUCACACACUGGACAUCACCUCAGAAGUGGCUGCAUCUCAGUGGAGGACAUGGUGGCAUAUAAUGUACUGAUCCCCAACACAAUCUUUGUUGCACAGCUUGCUCUUGUUUGACCUGAAUUCUUCCCUGCUCUUCAAAGAGGCAGUGGAGGAAGAGUCCUGCAAUGAGCUCCCCAAGCAGAGAAGCGUAAGGCUGGCUAUGCCGGAGCUGACAGCCAGGAUCGGCCCCUGGCCUGGGCCUGGAUCCAGCCACAGGAGCACUGUGGGAGUUCCCAUCUGGAUGUCAGCUUUGCAGUCUGGGCCUAGGGGAUUAGCUGAGAUGUGGUUCCCAGAGCAGAGGAAAAGGGCUAAUGAACACAGAUAUGUUAAAGAAGCAGGUAAAAGCUUUCUGUCCUUCAGGGCUGAAGAGGAAAUCCUGCAGCUGGUCAAUCUGGAUACAAUUAGAGUCCAUUUCUCCCUGUGUAAUCAACCCAUCUGUCUAUCCCUGUGCAUCAGCAGUGCACACCCCACUGCAGGCAGAUGCCUCCCAGGCACUGUUGUUAUCUGCAUUUGCCGUGGAUGCUCCAGGUAGCCCAAGGACAAGGCUCGCUCUGAGCCAUGGAUCCAACAACUGCACCUGUUCCCUCUGCCCUCCAGGCUCAGCAGGAGCUCUGGGAGAGCUGUGGACAACAAACCAGCUGCGAUCACCGCAAAUGGGAGGAUCAAGCACAGGAAAAGGCUCUCCAAGAGGAUGGUGGGUGGGUGUCUUCUCCAAAGUGCUUUACACUUUCUGGAGUGAUCUUUGUAAUGUACUGAUAACUUCAGUUUUCCAGACACUGCCUACUCCCCUGAGCUCAACCUUAUUGUAAGCAGGUAACGGUAGAUUACGUUCAGGUGCCACACUGAGCUUGUAAAGUUGUGUUCAUCACAUGGGAUCCUGAGUACUGGUUCAGGUGUCUGUGGUUCUGGUGUCCUCAAACUGUAUACUCAAACUGUAUGAACUUGCUCUUAUAUUAGCUCUUGCUUGUGUCGCAUUUUGUCAUCAGAGUGUCUUGAGGGAUCAAUCCACUGUACUAAGUGCUGUCCACACAGAAAAUAAAGAUGGUCCCAACCUGAAGCAGCUUACACAGUCA